UACGUAGGUGGCGAGCGUUAUCCGGAUUUAUUGGGCGUAAAGGGAACGCAGGCGGUCUUUUAAGUCUGAUGUGAAAGCCUUCGACUUAACCGGAGUAGUGCAUUGGAAACUGGGAGACUUGAGUGCAGAAGAGGAGAGUGGAACUCCAUGUGUAGCGGUGAAAUGCGUAGAUAUAUGGAAGAACACCAGUGGCGAAAGCGGCUCUCUGGUCUGUAACUGACGCUGAGGUUCGAAAGCGUGGGUAGCAAACAGG
rnacentral:rRNA from 1 species